ACAACCGAUAAAUAAACAGACCAGUGUCUGUUUAAGAUUGACCAACACGUAUUGAUGAGAUGAUGCCAACAGUUAUUUGUGUGACGUGUAUGAACUGUAUAAAAGACCUGGAGGAAAUGGAGGAGGCAGAACUUCUCGGCUGAGAAGCUCUAGCAAAUGUGAAACCCAGAGAGAACCUUUGUAAUAAAGCAUACCUUUGUAAUCCGAACUCCUCGACUCAAAGCCUAUUAUUCUUGAUCGAUAAGAACCACUUCAGAAGCCUCCCACAAAACUGGUGAAGCCCGACGAGAUUCAUAAGAGAUCUACAUUUGGACUGAGGUAGGCAAUUAAAAAACCUGUAAACCUGACAAAUGCCUAGAUACGAAUUUUGAACUGAUUAAAGUGAGAAGGCUGAGAAAGAGGAGGAAGUCGGUUACAAACGUUGAGUUACAAUAGGAUACCUGUAUGUAUCCCUGAAUGAAAGGAUAAUGAAUGUAAAUGUUUUCUUGCUAAAGCUUUCAAAACUAUCGUAUCCGGUAAGGGGUAGCUAGGGGGAUAUCCGGCGAUUCCUAUGAGAUAGAGUUGCCCCCAAGGUGCAAAAAACAAUUUAUGGCCCAGUAAAAAGAUAUUCGAGUAAACUGAGUAACCAUAACUUUUAGAAACCUUGAUUUAAACUGGUAAUAGUCAAGGGUUCGGGCAAUCGGGUUGGUCAACAAAUGAUCUCAAUACGUGUGUAAUGACUGGAGUUGUUGUUACGCUACAAAACAAGGCUUUUGGAAAAAUCAUGUUAGCCAAAGAUGUUAAAAAUUCGACGAGCAUUUGCGUGACUAACCUUUUCAACAGACCUCAGAAACAAAUUAUACUUUGUAAAAUAUCUAUGUCCUGUCUAGUUUUCACUAAAUAACAACAAAGUGACAGCAAAGAGAAAGCUGCAGCUAUUUCUUUAGUCGAAAGUAAAUUAGGACUCAUGACCCGUAUGAUUUAUCUUAAGACGUGCUGGAUAAACUAACAGUAGAUGGAUAUCUGUAGAUAAUAUAGAUAAUGCAAAUAUUGUGUUCUGGUAAUAUAAAGCUGAGACAGUAAGGUCCUGCGUACUGCCUACACUUCUCGAGACAGCUGUGUUUACAAAAGCUGCCUCGGAGGGACAGGCAGGGAAGGACUAAGUCUCCGUUAGAAAAAAGCUAUAACGUGUAUAGGAUGGAGUCAGAUAAACGAUAAGUUUGAGAACACACAUGAUCCUGAAGCAAACCAGAGAAAUUGAGCCUGAAAUGUGGGAAUUCGCGGCUAUUGCGCAACUGUUCCAGAUGAGGGCUCGAGAGGUGCGUUGUAAGGGAGGGGCUGAGCAAGGGUUUUCAGAGUGAAGGCGUCGCCCAAGUAAUGUGUGUAUAUCAUAACUAUGAUAAAGAGGUUGAAUUAAUGAAGAAUGUUAUAAUUCUAAGAGAACAAUAAUUUAACUAUUUGAUAGUAAAUUUGAAAGACAUGUUUUAUAAACCUAAUCAAGAAGGUUCCAAUGAAUAAAAUGAUCAAAGUAAACUGCAAAAAUAAAGACAGAAAGCAAAUUUGGGAACAAAUGUGGUAAAAAGUAUUUUACAUGCUGUUCUCUGAACAUUACAGACGCUGAUCCGGGCAUUUGGACCCCUGUUGUUUGAAAAAACUGAGAAAGAGGAUUAGAAAUAACACUGUUGACUGUAAUAAAAAUGAAAAAGGGAAACCUAUGAGCGUGUCUCCAUUUACUGUCAGCUGUAUAUUUGCCUCGUUCAACAAACUCAUUUACAUUCACACAUAAAGUAUAAAAGGAGAAUACAGGAAUGAAUGUAUGCAAGUGGCAUAUGUAUAUAAACUGGCCAGUAACACUCAUAUCCUUAAGUUUAGAUCUGCCUGUUCCAUCCCAAACGCAUCAUGAGUGUGCCAAAAAGACCGACAGAGGGAGGAGCCAGAGCUAUCCUGUCGCCUGACCAGACCGUGCCAGCUGGGCCUCCGCGCGUGACCGCCCAGGAGGUCCGCAGCCUCCAACAUCCUCUUCUCCUCGAGAUGAACAGGAAAUGGGCCAAGCGCACUGCCAAGAUGACACCGUCAUUGGCGGAGCACGGGACCUUCGAUCUAAGCCUCUGCAACGACAUGAGGGUCCUGGUCGCCAAUCACGGCCAUUCUGGAUCGGUCAAGGAAAAACUCAGAAAGCAGAAGGAGGAAGCUGGAGUUCUGAAGCUGUACGAACAACAAGGACAGAACUAUUGUGACACAGUUAAGGCUUGCCUGCUCGCAGCCAAAACUGAUCACAGGACUCUAGAUAGAGCCUCCCCUCCCCCAUAUGAUAAAGAGAAGAGCAGCUCUGCCCCACCCAGAAAUACCUUGUAUACGGGUGAGGCAGAGAACCCAAGGUCUUCAUCCAUCUUCAUGGCCCGGUCCACGAGCCCAGCCCCUCCCCGUGCCCAGAGCCCCGUCCAUCCCCUCCCAAGCAGAGAAGCGGGCCAGGGAAGGCCAGUCCGCGACAGAUGGCCUCCUUCAUACUAUCAAGCCCCCAUCCUGGUCAGAGGAGAUCAGAUGUACUAUGUGCCCUGGAUGACAAUGGACAUGACAGGACUAAUUACUCGGCUCCCUAAUCCAUAUGAGGGAGCGAGUAGGUGGAUUAAGGCGUUUGAGCAAGAGACACUAGGCCACAAUAUCUCCAUAGGAGACAUAAAAAUGAUUCUUGGGCGUACCUUGGGGGCGGGAGGCUUGAGUGACGUCAUGCACUCACGACACCUGGCAGAUGUCCUAAGUUCACAUGUAGAAGAUGAAAAUCUUUUCAAUGGAAUUCGCACCGAAGUCUGGGAGAAUCUGAGAACCCUUUUCCCGGACCGGGUCAGACUGGACAUGCUCAUUGGGGAGACAAUUGAACCAUCUGAGCCACCAAUGGCGUUCAUCCACAAAACCUUGGGAAAUUGGAGACCUGAACUGGGAAAAAAUCCAGAAGAAGCGGUCCUGCAACAAGCCAUGUUUCGACAAGGGGUCGUUCAAGGCCUGUCAGAGACUGUUCAGGGGCGGUUAGGAGACAAAGUGAGUCUCUAUUCCAUGCCGUUUGCCCAGUUCUGCAAACACAUCACCCAUGCAGUGUUAAGGGAAAGGAAAAAUGAAAACAAAAGGCUGCAGAGUGACCGAGAGGACGUGCGGAAGCUGAACAAACUCCAACUCAAGUCCGGCCUACAAGCAGUACUCAUGACUCCCCCUGGGGGCUACAGUCAAAACAGGCAGUGGGGGAGCAAGCCAGAAGUGCUGGCGCUGGGCCUAGUUUCCCAGUAGCCGCUCCCCUCCAAGAAAUGAUGAAAGAAGCAGGAGUCACCUCUCUACAGGCCAAACUGAAAUGGACUGAGGGGGGGGAGAAAGCAUUCACGGAUAUCAAACUGAGUCUACAACAGGCACCAGCUCUGGCCCUCCCGAACUACAAGAAACCCUUCUUCCUGUAUGUAUCCAACCGCACACACCACGCCACUGCAAUGCUGAAACAGUCCACCAGAGGAGGGCUGUUCAGGUGGACUGACACCAGUUGAGGCAGCCUUGCCGCCAUGCUAUCAAGGUUUAGCCGCAAUACACCACAUGUAUGAGAAGGCAUCAACACUCACUUUGGGCUAUCCAAUCACAAUUUACAUACACCACAAAAUUGCAAAUCUUGUUGAACGGGGUACAUUUCUGCUGACAGAGUCAGGAGUUAUGUCACAAUGUUGCGAGACCCAGACGGCUUGAAAGCCGGAUAGGCAGUGGUGAGGCUAGAAGAACAGGGGGUGUUCGCUACACUAAAAGAAGAGGUAAAAAUAUUAUAAAUAUGUGCAGGAAUAUGAAGAAUUUAGGCUGUCACUAACUAACACAUUUUUUCUGUCCCCCAGGAAUCGCAUAGAUAAGAACUAUGUGAUGGGGGGAAGGGGGGAUAGGAAAAAUGUGGACAAUGGUCUCAGAAACCGAGGCAAUUUUAAAUCGAUAAUUUAUUUGAUAGAUAAGCAAAGCACACCCUAAGUAACAUCUAUAAUUUUGAUAGUGUAACCCUUAGACUAUGGUGAAGCUUUUUUGUUGAAGUUGUUUUGUAGGAAUACGAGUAAGAAGGAGGAGAGAAUGAGCCUUGGAGAAACCAACCAGUAUCCAGCCUGGUUGCCGAGUCUCCAGUAAAGGCGACCGGGGGAAAAGUCAACACCCUCGUGUAGAAACACUGCCUGAUCACAGGGUCACGAUGAUGGGUUAACCAUGUGGUCCAUCUGGAAUCACCAUUAUAAAUCCCACAUCAGACUUGGUCACACCUAUAACACCUAUUGACUCUGAUUCUGAUCUCCUGUACUGAUCCCUGAUACAGUACAGGACAGUGCUGUCCUAAAAGCAAAGCGCACAAAUGACGUUGGUUAACUCUCAGCCCUCGAACUGGGCCUGAGACUGAGGUUGAGAGCUUCCUGCUCGUGCCUCAGAAGUCAAGGUUGUGCUUAAGACCAAGGACCAAAUCCAGGGCCCGAAGUUACCAAGCCACCCUGGACAACGGCGAACAGUCACUCAAAACCUGCUCGAUCAGAAAAUGAAACUCAACCGCCGAACAACAACAAUCCCUUCUUGGUUGCGUUCCAACUGGGAAGAAGGGGGGUGAGUGGAACGGGGACACAUGAGGUGGAUGCAACAGUAAUUUUGUCAUUUGAAAUGUGAAACUAAAGUAAUUGUUAACAACAUGCAUAGGUGGUUUAGGUUGAUAGAACCAGGGUUUAUUGAUGACAUUAACAAUGUUUGUUGGCUCUGAGUUAACACCUCCCAGAGUCCACUGCCCUUGCAUGGAGAACAACUGGCGAGUGGCAGAGGAAAGUAGGGUUUGGUGAUGUAUAUACUACACCCACAUUGUUCCUGAUGAAGUUUCACAAAAGCUAUGACUAAACUAAACAUCCUAAGCUUGAAGCUGUUAUGAUUGUAUACCAAUCUCUCUGUCCCGGUUUCUAUAAAACUCACCUCCACUAUGAUGACAGAGUGCCGACUAAUGCACCAAGAUCAUCUAACAGAAUAAGACUCUCCCCUGGCCACAGAAGUAUCCUGUUCCUUGACUGUAUCUAAUUCCAGGAGAAAUUAAAACCAGAUCCAGGGGUGGAGCCAGAGAAGGUUCACCAAAGAGGGCCACUACCAGAGGCCAUCAAACCUCCAACAGCCCCGCCAGUGAACCCGAUGGCGCCAUUACUCGUGCAGCCGCUAAGAGACGUGCAGCUGAGCGAGCAGGGGACGAUCCUGGCCGACUCCACACCCACACCGCAGAAUCCCCUUCCCGAGCAAACCGCUCGGUGAGGGAGAGGCUUCCCUCCCCUGAUUUAUAUCCUGUGCCUGGCUGGGUCCAGGGGGGUCAGGGAGGGGAGGGUCACAGUGGCUGAAUGAUGUUCAGACCAGACCACACCAGGCGCCGACGAAUCAAUCGAGCCGCUUCAAGGUCGUGGAACAUCACUCAAUGAGUAUACUAAGCACAUAAUUUGUUUAUUUUUUGAGUUUGAUUUCUUUUAAAAAGUAUAAUUGAGUGAUGUUUAUGUGAUUCAUUAAUCUUGUGUAUAGUUGUUGAAGGUUUGUGGAGGACUGCCCUCCCAAACCCAUUUAUGUUAAAAUGACGGCCAUCCAUGGUUUCUCCCCAAAAGAAUAUGGCCUAAAAAACGCCAGGGGGAGUUUUACUCCAAGAUUUUUGAGCCACAGCGGAACAAAGGCAAUUCUGAACGAAUAUCUAGGCACUGCAUAUGUUGUAACUGUUGUAUGUGGACUUGAUGUUUGAUUGUAUACCAACGUGUUUUUGAGAAACUGUUUGAAAAUCUGGGGUAUUUUGUCAAGCCAUGGAAAGGAGGGGGAUCUAUAUACUCACACAUAUUGCAAGCUUACAACCAUAUGAGUAGACUGAACCGAGGCACCCUUAAAAAUGGAAACCUUAUUGCACAACAUGAAUCUGGACAGUUCCACUGCAGACAAACACUAGCAUAUUUCUUAAACCAUAUACUCAUGAAUAAAAAAUAAAAAAAUGUAAAUAAUUUUUUCUUCUGUAAGGUUUGUUUUUUUCAAUGUUUAAAUGUUUUAAGGUUCUCCGGCAAUAGAUUUCUGACGUAGUAUAAGGGUUUUUGACCCUUAUAAGGGGGGAUCUGUGGUGGGCCAGAAAUCACCCUAUAGUUGGAUAUAUGCUUGUUGGGGUCACAUCAGGGCAAGGCCCCAGUUUAGGGCAUAGAGCAGGGUGGAAAGCACUAGGCUGUGCUCGAGAAAUAUAGAUGAGUCACGAUGUUGUUGUGCUCAGGCCCCGUAGUCAAUUAUGGGACAAGCACUUGGCUGUUCCAGCUCAAACUUCCUGUGUUAGAAAUGUUCUUUCCCAAGAGUGUAGUUAGGGAGCUGUAUGCUUCACACAGAUAAGCAAGGUCAGGUUGACAUGGAGUUUGUUCCCUUAGAUAGAGAUGACCCUUGACUCAUGACAACCGAUAAAUAAACAGACCAGUGUCUGUUUAAGAUUGACCAACACGUAUUGAUGAGAUGAUGCCAAGAGUUAUUUGUGUGACGUGUAUGAACUGUAUAAAAGACCUGGAGGAAAUGGAGGAGGCAGAACUUCUCGGCUGAGAAGCUCUAGCAAAUGUGAAACCCAGAGAGAACCUUUGUAAUAAAGCAUACCUUCGUAAUCCGAA